ACCUCGCGGGCUGAUCAAUAAAGGA
rnacentral:piRNA from 1 species